rnacentral:rRNA from 1 species
CAUGUAGGCGGUUUUUUAAGUCUGAUGUGAAAUACUACAGCUUAACUGUGGGAACGCAUUGGAAACUGAAAGACUUGAAUCAGUAAGGGGUAACCGGAAUUCCUGGUGUAGGGGUGAAAUCUGUUGAUAUUAGGAAGAACACCGAUGGCGAAGGCAGGUUACUGGUACAUGAUUGACGCUGAGAUGCGAAAGCGUAGGGAGCGAACAGGAUUAGAUACCCUGGUAGUCC